UGAGCCAAGCAGUAACAUUCAAGUAGAAAUCACAUAACCUUUUAGUUUUUGUGUUUAUUUUUAUUAAGUUAUCCCCACCAGUGACCACAGUCCAAAUCUUUCAAUGUUAUACUAAUAAAGGAAACUGAAAAAAAAAAAUGACUUGAAGGAAUUUGCAAUUAGAAACAAGCCUUGGUUCCAGACCCGGUCUUGCUUCACCUCACUGCUUAGAACGAAAACGUAAGCAAAAAUAACAACGGAGAGCAUAAAGACAAUCUGACCAUUCAUAUGGCUUAACCAAGUGACUUGUCCCCUUAAGCCGUGGCUGACCUAACACAGAUGCCUUCUUCGCUUCUGUAUGAGACUUUCUGGCAAAUAGGGAAUAGGGAUCCUCAAGGACCUAACAAAAGAUUUGUUUUGCAUUAGGAAACGUAGAUCUGCUUUCUGAUGAUGCUACGUAGGCAGACAGCAGCGCUCGUGAAUCCCGACUGCUGGCAGGGAAGUUUUUCAUCCUGGCAACAGGGUUGCCAUAGCGAUUCUGGCUGAUGGGAUGUUGUUAGCAGCCAGCCGCUCGUCCCCAAAAUCAGAGAUGACCAGAACCACUGCCAGGGUCGCCGGAGCCCACGCGCCGCAGUGCCCCCUCCCCAGUUCAGGAACAUCUUGUUAGGAGCUAAAGAAAGUCUUCCAGCAUCUGCUCUGAAUUCUCUAUGUUGCAACACCAGGAUGACCCACAGAUGAGAACUGUUGAAGCUUGAACUACACAAGCUACAUUAACAAGCAUGCUUUUAACCAGCUGAAGAUAAGCCAGGAACUAGGCAAACCACAACACCCGUGCUACUUUUGGGGUUUUGGCAGCUCCCUUCAGCUCUAGAUGCUAUCAGAGGCCGUGUGCUGCUGUUGCUACUUAUGUCUGGGCUUCUCUUCACUGCUCACUAGGUGCAAUGCCUCGAAAAGGAAAAUCACAGCUGAAACAGAUUUCAUCUCAGUGGUCGCCUGUAAGCACUGGUUGCAGAUCUCCUCCCCCAGCAGAGAACAAGCAGCAUGCUCCUGCCUUGAAGGUGUUCUGCCCAUCCACUGGACUACUACCCUGCUUUGUUUCCCACUCCAAAACUAAGUGCUGUUAGCAAAAGGGAAAUGCUAGAAAUAGCAACAUUCAGAUCAGCUACAAAUUUACUGUACAUGCAGUUUAACCCAGAAAUAAACAAGAGAUCCCACAGAGCAUAUGGAAUUAACAUUGGGCUUAAUGUAUUCUCAGCCUAGAAUCAAAGCAAACUCUGCAUAUAUUGCAGCAUCAGAUUUAUACCCCAAGAAAUGCCAGUUGACAGCCUUUCACAGUUAUGUCACUUUGAUGAUGCUGAGCCAGAACCAUCAUGUUGGGAACCUUUACACAAUUUAUUCAAGUAAUUUUCAUUCUGAAUAGACGAAAACAGAAAUUUUAAAUAUCCCAUUUUAAACACAGCAAUUUUUCC